UUCUCUUUUCCCUUUCUUCUUCUUCCCUCACGCGACCCCCUCCCUCUUGUUUUUGCUUCGUUUCACGCCGCCAACACGCACGCAGCUGCUGCCACCAUCCGACGAGUUGAGGCGCCAUCGAGUUGUCCAUAUCUGAAGCCGUUCAUUGCGUUUCUUCCCCCGGACGCCGCCCAGCCCUCGUCUGCCAGCCGCGACCAUCUGCUCUAGAACAGCUGCACGUCAGAUCUGAAGGCCCCAGCCGCGAGUGUUCGUCGCCCAUGCUGUUCGCGAGUCUCUAGCCACUCGAUCUGUCAGCGUCGCCUCGGCUUGCGCCGCUUUACCUGUUCCGUGUGCUCUGUCCGGCAUCGAGUCCUAGCCGUAAGUCUUCAACCGCCCUACGCCGCGCGUUGGGUCGUCUGCUAGUCGCCACUGCCAAACUAGCGCCAACCUUCAGCCCGAUGCCCAGUGGCCCAGCCCCCUUCAUCGCACUAGCGCUGUUCGAGCCAGCCUUCCGUCACUGGCGCCAUCAUUUGGGUUUCGUUGGACUUUGAAUAAUUUAGAAUCAAGGAUUGAAGAUUUUGAGACAUUGCUUUGAAGUUUAAGACCAAUUUCAGUGGAAAAUUUGUUAAGGCGUCGCUUCAAGGCUCUGUUUGGCAAGGAGGGCAUAAGCUUGCUUGAACAAAUUUGGAUUUACUUUAAGCUAAGUAAUCUUACUACUGGAAUUGCCCUAGUGUCAUGCAAUGAUAAUUAUGAUGUAUUGAGGAUUAUUAGUUAGCAUGAUAUUUAUGUAUGCCUUCAUUGACUGAGGUUCGAAAGGACUGGAGUCAGGUAUUGAUAAAUAUGAUUUACUGAGUAUAUAUUGAUGGUUU